rnacentral:rRNA from 1 species
CCUACGGGUGGCAGCAGUGGGGAAUAUUGCGCAAUGGGCGAAAGCCUGACGCAGCGACGCCGCGUGAGGGAUGAAGGUCUUCGGAUCGUAAACCUCUGUCAGCAGGGAAGAACGGUCAAUGUGCUAAUCAGCAGUGAAUUGACGGUACCUGCAAGGGAAGCACCGGCUAACUCCGUGCCAGCAGCGGCGGUAAUACGGAGGGUGCGAGCGUUAAUCGGAAUUACUGGGCGUAAAGCGCUCGUAGGCGGUAUGUCAAGUCAAGGGUGAAAUCCCCGCGCUCAACGUGGGAACUGCCUUUGAAACUGGCAAACUGGAGUGUGUGAGAGGAUAGUGGAAUUCCAGGUGUAGGAGUGAAAUGCGUAGAUAUCUGGAGGAACAUCAGUGGCGAAGGCGACUAUCUGGCACAUAACUGACGCUGAGGAGCGAAAGCGUGGGUAGCAAACAGGAUUAGAUACCCUUGUAGUC